GACGAAGGAUGCAAGCGUUAUCCGGAUUCAUUGGGUUUAAAGGGAGCGUAGGCGGUCUUAUAAGUCAGUGGUGAAAGCUCCUCGCUUAACGAGGAAAUUGCCAUUGAUACUGUAGGACUUGAGUACAGUUGCUGUGGGCGGAAUAUGACAUGUAGUGGUGAAAUACAUAGAUAUGUCAUAGAACACCGAUUGCGAAGGCAGCUCACAAAACUGUAACUGACGCUGAGGCUCGAAAGUGCGGGGAUCAAACAGGAUUAGAUACCCUGGUAGUCCGCACUGUAAACGAUGAUUACUCGCUGCUGGGAGGUAACUUUCAGUGGCUUAGCGAAAGCGAUAAGUAAUCCACCUGGGGAGUACGCCGGCAACGGUG
rnacentral:rRNA from 1 species